UAGACGAAGACCGUACGGAUAAGCACAUCGAAAACAGAACUGCAGAAGAACAUCAGGAGUAUCUGGCAAAUCAAGUCGUCUAUCCGUAAUAUUUUAGGCGCUUAUUCGUCGGUGAGAGACGGGCCUCGUUUGCUUAGUUCGGUAAUAUGUCAAAUUACGAAUGUCGCUAUUUAUCAACCAGUCACCAGCAUCAAUGUGGUUUCAGUACAACACUGCAAUGUAGCAAGUAUACAUGAAAUGGAAAUAAGGGGAAAUUGUUUUAAUAAUAAUAUAUUUUAAAGGCCGCA